AAGUCGUAACAAGGUCUCCGUAGGUGAACCUGCGGAGGGAUCAUUAACACGUUUAACAACGUACCCACCAAACAAUGGAAACAGCCGCAAGGCAGUUCUCUCCCUCUAUCAAUUGCAAGCAAUUGCAAUCAAUGGAGGCUAUUCCUUCUAUCAACCCCUUUCCAACUUCAAUGCAAGCGUGAACACAGCAAUGUGUGCAUGUGGGCAUUGUCCUGUCUGACCUGUAUUCUAUGUGUGGUCAGUGUGACUGUGUGGACUUCCCUGUGUCGUCCUCUCCGUCUCCUGUCUGUGUAUAGUUGAUAUUUAAUGCAAAGCACAACUCUUAGCAACGGAUAUCUUGGUUCUC
rnacentral:misc_RNA from 1 species